GUUUGAUUAACUCAGUUGGAAGAGUAACCGCCUGACACGCGGCUUGUCACAGGUUCGAAUCCUGUAUCAAACC
rnacentral:tRNA from 2 species